rnacentral:rRNA from 1 species
UCGUCAGCUCGUGUCGUGAGAUGUUGGGUUAAGUCCCGCAACGAGCGCAACCCUUGUUAUUAGUUGCCAGCAUUAAGUUGGGCACUCUAAUGAGACUGCCGGUGACAAACCGGAGGAAGGUGGGGAUGACGUCAAGUCAUCAUGCCCCUUAUGACCUGGGCUACACACGUGCUACAAUGGGCAGUACAACGAGAAGCAAGCCUGCGAAGGCAAGCGAAUCUCUGAAAGCUGUUCUCAGUUCGGACUGCAGUCUGCAACUCGACUGCACGAGGCUGGAAUCGCUAGUAAUCGCGGAUCAGCACGCCGCGGUGAAUACGUUCCCGGGCCUUGUACACACCGCCCGUCACACCAUGGGAGUCUGCAAUGCCCAAAGCCGGUGGCCUAACCUUCGGGAAGGAGCCGUCUAAGGCAGGGCAGAUGACUGGGGUGAAGUCGUAACAAGGUAACCGUA